rnacentral:rRNA from 1 species
UACGGAGGGUGCAAGCGUUAAUCGGAAUUACUGGGCGUAAAGCGCACGCAGGUGGCUGAGUCAGUCGAUUGUGAAAGCCCUGGGCUUAACCUGGGAAUUGCAGUCGAUACUACUCAGCUAGAGUAUGGGAGAGGGCAGUGGAAUUCCCGGUGUAGCGGUGAAAUGCGUAGAUAUCGGGAGGAACAUCAGUGGCGAAGGCGGCUGCCUGGCCCAAUACUGACACUCAAGUGCGACAGCGUGGGGAGCAAACAGG